CCGUGAGGGAAAGAUGAAAAGGACUUUGAAAAGAGAGUUAAAAAGUACGUGAAACCGUUGAAAGGGAAGCGAAUGGAGUUAGCAAUUCGCCCUGCCAGAUUCAGUUGUUCGCGCUUCGCGACGUGCACGCUCUCGAUCCGCAUGGACGAGACGUGUACGGGUGCGACGUGCGGACGGCGCACUUCUGGCGGGCGAGCGUCAGCGUCGGUCGUCGACGGGCGAUAAGGUCGCGAGGAAGGUAGACGUGCCUUCGGGCGCGUUGUUAAGACUCGCGUUCGCAUAGCUCGACGACGACCGUGGCUCCUUCACACGGAGGCGACGCGUGCCUGGCUGGCGACUUGUGCGAUCGGUCCGGCAUGUCGACCGUGGCGGACGGCACGCCUGUGCGCUCGAACUGCUGCCGGUCGCUCGCACGAUGUUCGCACACUACGCGUCSAAGACGCUGACGACCAUACGGCUCCAUCCGACCCGUCUUGAAACACGGACCAAGGAGUCUAACAUGUGCGCAAGUCUCCGGGUGAUCGAAACCCGUGGGCGCAAUGAAAGUAAAGGCCGUCCUAGACGGCUGAGGUGAGAAGCGCGCUUCUUCUCGACGCGCGCCGCAUCAUCGACCGACCUAUUCUGCUCUCAGAAAGGUUUGAGUAAGAGCGUAUCUGUUGGGACCCGAAAGAUGGUGAACUAUGCCUGAAUAGGGUGAAGCCAGCGGAAACACUGGUGGAAGCUCGUAGCGAUUCUGACGUGCAAAUCGAUCGUCGAAUUUGGGUAUAGCGGCGAAAGACUAAUCGAACCAUCUAGUAGCUGGUUCCCUCCGAAGUUUCCCUCAGGAUAGCUGGAGUUCAUACAUGCAGUUUUAUCAGUAAAGCGAAUGAUUA
rnacentral:rRNA from 1 species